AAAGAAUCUUGACCGACCAGGGGAGAGAAUUUGUUAAUUCUAUCAACAAAGAAGUGUGUGGUGCCUUGGGCAUCCAAAGGAGCCUCUGCUCUCCAUAUCAUCCUCAAACCAAUGGAUUGGUUGAGAGGAUGAAUGGGACGAUUCAGAGAGCCUUGAGUAAAGUGGUUGUCCGCCACCUAGAAGAAUGGGAUGAUUUCCUGGAUCCUAUAAUGUUUGGUCUUCGUACCAAAAAACAGAUGACCACAAAAUACUCACCAUACUACCUCAUGUUUGGACGAGAGGCUCGGUAUCCCUCUGAAAUUCCAGAGCAUCUUGAGAUUGACAACACUGUUGAGGAGGCAGUUGGAGCAGAGGAAAUCUCUGUGAACAUUGAGCGACAUACUAAACUUUUGGAGGUUGUCAGGGAAAACCUCUCAAAAGGUCAUGACAAAACAAAGGGCAAGAUAAAACCUGAUUAACAGCCUGAGCUGAAAGUAGGGGACAAGGUUUUGAGGAAAAAUGUCCGAAAUAGUAGCAGAAAAGGGGGUAAGCUGGAAGCUAGCUUCCUAGGGCCUUUUACUAUUGUGGCCAUGCAGGGAAAGAGUGCUGACCUUCAAGAUCAGAAAGGAGUGAUCUAUCCAAGGAUCAAUGUUGACCAGCUGAAGCUCACCUUUGACCCCGUCCCCAGAGUUCCACACAAAAAUCUUAGGAACCAACCAACUCCCCCCACAGCUCCAGCUCCCCAACCACCAGCUCCAACUCCUACACCUUCCUCAGUUCCAGCUACCCCACCAUCAGCUCCAGCUACCCCACCAUCAGCUCCAGCUACCCCACCAUCAGCUCCAAUUCCUCCACCAUCAGCUCCAGCUCCAGCUCCGACACCCUCCGCAGCUCCAGCUACCCCACUUUCAGCUCCAACUGCCUCCGCAGCUCCAGCUCCUCCACCAUCAGCUCCAGCUCCAACUUCUCCUGCAGCUCCAGCUCCCCCAUCGCCUGCUUUCACUCCCAGAUACACAAAAACUGUAGCAGAGAAGUGUAAGUACUAACUUAAUAAACUAAUUAACUAACUUCAUACAUACAUACAUACAUACAUACAUACUGCAUACAUGAAUGCAUACAAAUUUACUUGAGACAAGAAAACUUAUAUUUAGUGUUAAAUUGUAUUUAGCCCCUAAAAUGUUUGCAUAAUUCAUUCAUUAAUUCCCAUAAGUAACAAUUUUGAAUGUUUUUGUAUUUUUUUUUAUUUUUGACAGACUUCAGAGAUGUCUGGGCUGGAAAUGUUUCCCAUGUCCUCCUGUCCAAAGUGGGGGCAUACAAAAUGUUUUAUUGGGACAUAUCCCAAAUUGGACCAAAUAUGGAGAUGGAAAGUGAGGCUAUCAAUGCAUACAUGUCAAUCAUUGUGAGGGAUCACAACGCCCAAAACACACAAAAAGCAGCUGUGAUUGACUCUUUUGCAAUGACGGCAAUAUGGCAAGGAAAAUCCUCAAGAAUUAAGAUCAAACCCCUGGACUACCACAUUCUUUUGGGGAUCAUAAAUCAAAACCAUCACUGGAUAUUGGCGGCUAUCUAUCCACAUGAAAAAAGAUCCCUGCUAAUGGAUCCUCUGGGAGAGUCCAAACAAAAUAUAAAGCGAUGUUUGGAGAGAACAAGGGCUUUCCUUAGAAACAAGGGAUGCAAUGUGUCAAGGUGGACAUGUGACACAGUCGAACACCCCUUCCAAACAGAUGGCACCUCAUGUGGAGUGUUUUCACUGAAGUUUGCAGAAAAAAUCCUACAAAAUGAGAGAAUUCAUUUCAGUGCUACCCAACAGGCCAUCAACAGAUACAGGAUGGAAAUAGCUGUCACUCUCCUCCUACAGACUGACCUCAACAGAUGUGAGACAAGUCAAAUUUCAGCUCCUUUUAUUUUAAACAGAUGACCUAAAUGACUUGUGCUUCUAUUGUGGGACAAAGGAGCAUGAGACAGACAUUGACUGGAUCCAGUGUGAUAUUUGUCUGCGGUGGUUUCACCAGACCUGUGUAGGAAGCCCAUCACCACAGGAAACUUUUGUUUGCCCAGCUUGUGUUCACUGAAAAGUGAAGGGGGAUGAGCUGCUCUCAAAUGCA